AUCCUAUCGUGGUCCAUAAGCGUGAUGAUUGGGUUUACACACAUCUGUGUGACAUGUGCCUCCCUUCAACCUUGUUACGUCAUGGGCACAUUACCUGUCUGAUG
ensembl:snoRNA